CGGGCGGGCGCCUCGCCUUCCACACCUCCCCGCCAGCAGAGGGAGCUGGCUCCGGCCUCGGCCAGCCCCAGAGAGGGGCCCCCUCAGCGCAGCGGCGGGCUGAAGGGCUGCUGGAGCGCGGCCAGAGCGGACGCCGAGGCCGAGGAGGCGCCGAGAGCGAGUGAGAGCUGCUAGCCAGUUGUCACCUCUCACAGAGAGAAGCUUUAGGGGCCGGAUCCUGAUACAGAGCAGACACCUCCAGAGUUCUUUCCAACGCGUGAUUACCUCAAGCCUGGAAUCCACUCUUGACUAGAGAUUGACUGGAAGAUUGACUGCAAUUGAUUUGUAACCUGGUUGGGCCCAUCCUGGCACGGGUUCCUUCACUAGAUGGAAUAAUAAUUCAAAACAAGUCAUCGGAGCAGGUUGCACCGCCUGACACCUCCUAAGCCGUUUGUUUCUCCUGCAUUCCAAACCUCUCGCUUUAAAAACCCCUGCAUUCCCUCCACAAAUUAAAGAGUGGAAAUGUUUGGAAAGAAUUCCGCCCAGUCUUGCCCUUGCUACCACAGAUAAUAAAGCUUGCUCUCUUUCUAUCACACCUCGCUCUUGUUAUUUUGGCGUCUUUCUCCAAGCAGCAAGCAGC
rnacentral:lncRNA from 1 species